rnacentral:rRNA from 1 species
GACGAACGCUGGCGGCGUGCUUAACACAUGCAAGUCGAACGGAAAGGCCCUGCUUUUGUGGGGUGCUCGAGUGGCGAACGGGUGAGUAACACGUGAGUAACCUGCCCUUGACUUUGGGAUAACUUCAGGAAACUGGGGCUAAUACCGGAUAGGAGCUCCUGCUGCAUGGUGGGGGGUGGAAAGUUUCGGCGGUUGGGGAUGGACUCGCGGCUUAUCAGCUUGUUGGUGGGGUAGUGGCUUACCAAGGCUUUGACGGGUAGGCGGCCUGAGAGGGUGACCGGCCACAUUGGGACUGCGGUACGGCCCAGACUCCUACGGGAGGCAGCAGUGGGGAAUAUUGCACAAUGGGCGGAAGCCUGAUGCAGCAACGCCGCGGGCGGGAUGACGGCCUUCGGGUUGUAAACCGCUUUCGCCUGUGACGAAGCGUGAGUGACGGUAAUGGGUAAAGAAGCACCGGCUAACUACGUG